UUGGAUGAAACUCAUGUGGGUCUCACACUUUGGAAAUGGAUCCCACCUAAAGUGGUGAGACCCACAUGUGUUUCAUCCAA
rfam:Medicago truncatula strain A17 chromosome 1, whole genome shotgun sequence.